CGGGUGAGUAACGCGUAGGCAACCUACCCUUUAGUGUGGAAUAACCCCGGGAAACCGGAGCUAAUACCGCAUAAUAUCCCUGGUACCGCAUGGUACCGGGAUCAAAGCCUUAGGGCGCUAUUGGAUGGGCCUGCGUCGGAUUAGGUAGUUGGUGAGGUAACAGCUCACCAAGCCAACGAUCCGUAGCUGGUCUGAGAGGAUGAUCAGCCACACUGGCACUGAGACACGGGCCAG
rnacentral:rRNA from 1 species